rnacentral:rRNA from 1 species
GGCUCUUUGAAAUAAAUACAUAAAGAGUCGAACCUGCCCAGUGAUUUAUUUAAACGGCCGCGGUACUCUGACCGUGCAAAGGUAGCAUAAUCAUUUGCCCUAUAAUUGAGGGCUUGUAUGAACGGUUUGACAAGAGCAUAACUGUCUCUUAAAAAUUUUAUAGAAUUUGGUUUUUAGGUGAAGAAACCUAAAUAUAAUUGAAAGACAAGAAGACCCUAUCGAGCUUUAGAGUAGUUAAUUAAAAAGUAUGAUUAAAAUAAUUAAUUUUAGUUAAAAACUUUGGUUGGGGCGACUGAGGAACAUAUAAAGCUUCUUUUAUUAAAAUAUGCCUAUAAGCUAUGAUCCAAAAAAUUUGAUUAAAAAAAUUAGUUACCGUAGGGAUAACAGCAUAAUCUUUUUCAAGAGUUCUUAUCGAAAAAAAGGUUUGUGACCUCGAUGUUGGACUAGGAUAUCUUAAAGAUGCAGAAGUCUUUAAAAGUUGGUCUGUUCGACCAUUAAAAUCCU